rnacentral:lncRNA from 1 species
CAUAACUGUUUGUGUAACUUCAAGUAAGUUGUUUCUGGAUUAUUAUUAGGUAUAAUGUCCCGUUCUACCUAUCAGAUAUAGUAAUAACGCAUUUAUGUAGUUUCAUAUUUAAAUAAUCGUGAAUGUGCUAAUCUCUAUUACUCUUUGUGAAAAUUUUUAGACAACAUCAAAACAAAACUGGUUUUACUAAAACAAACAAUGCUUUCCUUGACCAACUAAUCAACGUGUAUUUACAGUAUUUGUGUUCUGCUCAAUUCAUCAAUUGUUAACAUUUAACUAUCCCUUUAAACGUUUUCCUUAAAUCUUUGUGUAAAACGCAAAGUACAUAAGAAUGGAAAAUGAUACAUUGAUAUAAACGGAGUAGACACAGUGCCUAUGAUUUCUACUACUGCAAGAGGAGGGUAUGUUUUCUUGCGGUUUACGGUAACGAAAAAUGGUGGGGACAACAUUUUACAGUUUAAUAAAAGUAUAAUUGAUUUAUUGCUUUCACAUUUGUUGUCAUUGUUUGUUCAUACGAAAUAUUAACAUCAUAAAUCCGAUACUCCUACAUUUGAUAGAUUCCGUCGUAGUAUUUAAAUUUAUACAAAAAUAUGCACUAUUAUAUACUUUAAAUCCGAAAACACUCAUUUCAUUAAUCUGACAAUAGAUUCAGGAAAGAUACAAUGAGUUAUACAUUUGAAUGAUUUUCAAUAGAAAUGAUAUAUCAAUUACCUAUUAAUUGUGUAACCAAAUUUAUAGUAGACUGACCUUACAAAAUAUUUAUACUGUACUUUGUAUAUUAAGAUUUUCAAAUUUCAAUAACUUUGGGUUAAUUCAUUAUUUCAUUAUAUACUAUAUCUGAUAAAUUAAGGACUUGUUACUGUUUACAGUCUGUACAAUAAUUAUUUGUCUGUUUGUCUUUUUAUUUUUUAACCAUGACGUUGUCAGUUUAUUUUCGAUCUAUGACUGUGACUGUCCCUUUUUUAAACUGUUUGUUUAGUUAUAAAUGUUAAACUGAUAUGGAAUCAAGGUUUUGUGCACGGUAUUGUUUGAAGCUGUGUUUGUGUAUUGUGCCUUUUAGAUAUAAUAACUAUUUUGUUGUUAUUUCUUGCAUUGAACUGGACGAGAUCAGACUGUUGUAUGCAUAUUUUGAUAAGUGUUAUGUUGAUUAUCAUUUUUACUGUAUUUAUCGAAUAUCUACCUGUCAAAAAAAAGAAACUUUAAUUCAUUGAUAAAGCCUAUUGUUGAUUUGUCGAGGUGUGUAUUUUUUGGUUUGUUUACUAAUAAAGUAAAUUUUAAGUUGUUCAUCAUUUGAUAUAUAAGAGGGACGAAAGAUACCAAAGGGACAGUCAAACUCAUAAAUCUAAAAUAAACUGACAACGCCAUGGCUAAAAAUGAAAAAGACAAACAGACAAACAAUAGUACACAUGACACAACCUAGAAAACUAAAGAAUAAACAACACGGACCCCAUAUAUCUUAAUAUUGUAAAAUGUUAAUAUUCCAGACGAUAUCAGUAUUUGGUUCAUACGCGUACGGUCGGUAUGAUUGUAAUAAGUUGGUCAAGUUUAUUAGAUAUAAAUGUAUAAUACAGAUCAACAUAACUGAAAUCUCGAAUUAAUAUAAAAAGUUCAUUUUUAAUUUGAAUUCAAACUUAAUGGUUAAACUAUUUAAAACUUUAUAUCCUGUAUAUUGCGACAGAAUACAGAAGAUACUGGACAGAAAUUAUUAAAACCUGUUCAAAAUUCAAUCAGAAAAUUUGAUAAAAGAAAGUAAUUGAAACUAAUGCAAAGUUUGAAAAAGUUAGCUUUUUUACUGUGAAGAAAGCAUCGGAGGAUAUAGGGUUGAUACUUUUAUUGGUAUAGAUGCAAGAUAUAUUGGUAAAGAUGCAAGAUUGUACAAACUAUCAAGUGAACUUGGCAUAUUGAACUUUUAUGUUAUGGUAGGAUUAUAAUUUAGUACGCCAGACGCGCGUUUCGUCUACAUAAGACUCACCAGUGACGCUCAAAUCGAAAUAUUGAUUAAGCCAAACAUGUAUUAAGUUGAAGAGCAUUGAGGAUCCAAAAUUCCAAAAUGUUGUGCCAAAUACGGCUUAGGUAAUCUAUGCCUGGAAUAAGAAAAUCCUUAGUUUUUCGAAAAAUUCAAAGUUUUGUAAACAGGAAAUUUAUAAAAAUGAACACAUUAUUGAUACUCAUGUCAACACCGAAAUGUUGACUACUGGGCUGGUGAUACCCUCGGGGACGACACGUCCACCAGCAGUGGCAUCGACCCAGUGGUUAAAAUAGGUUAUCAAAAGUACCAGGAUUAUAAUUUAGUACGCCAAACGCGCGUUUCGUCUACAUCAGACUCAUCAGUGACGCUUAAAUCGAAAUAUUGAUUAAGCCAAACAUGUAUAAAGUUGAAGAGCAUUGAGGAUCCAAAAUUCCAAAAAGUUGUGCCAAAAACGGCUUAGGUAAUCUAUGCCUGGAAUAAGAAAAUCUUUAGUUUUUUGAAAAAUUCAAAGUUUUGUAAACAGGAAAUAUAUAAAAAUGAACACAUUAUUGAUAUUCAUGUCAACACCGAAAUGUUGACUACUGGGCUGGUGAUACCCUCGGGGACGAAACGUCCACCAGCAGUGGCAUAUAGAGCUUUUGACCCACAAAAUUGAAUCUGCAUAUUGGAAAUCAGAAAGAAUGUCAUUGCAUGGUGCCGAAAAAAACAAGAAUUAUUAAAUCAUAUAGCAAAAGGACAUUAGUUCAAUAAAGUGAUGUGACAUAGCAUGUCAAAUUUGUUUCAUACUCUUGAUAAGUCUGUGCGUGAAGUUUUUCUUUUUUAUUUAGAUAAUAAUGUCAUCCUGUUACAUAUAACUUACUUUAUUAAGUGUGUUAGAUAAUCAGCAAUGUAAAAAUGUUCCAUACCAUAUGAGUAUUUGGACCUAACGCGUACGGUCCGACCUGUAUGCAUAUUCUCGUACGGUUCGACCAUACGCGAACGGUCGGACCGUAAAAGGUUUUAAAAUAUGUUGAGUAAAACACUUGACUGAAGGGCAUUUUGUAAUGGGUUGUCAAUAAGGUGCCAAACUACGUUGAAACAAGUUUUAAUCGCAACAACGUCGUAAAUCACCCGCCGUGCACGACUUCGCUGUCAUGUUCAGUGAUAUAGCCAAGUUUUUUUGUUGAAAGCAAUGAUAAUCAUCAAAAUUUUUAAAGCUCGUAAAACAGCCUAACAAUUUGACAAACCUUGAUGGAUUGUCUCGAAACUUAGAUAUAAAAUAUUUUAGAAAAUGACUAGAAAAUUCAAAAUGGAAAGUUUUAAUUAAAUUGCAAAAUCAAAAGUUCAAACACAUCAAACGAAGUGAUAACAACUGUCUUAUUGCUUACUUGGUACAGGCAGCCAAAGGUAUUCGUCCUUGAUUGUGACAUCACCGAAUGCGACUAACCAUAAGAUAUUACUGAAAUUAGAACCAAACCACGAAGGGUGACACAAGCGAAACGGAAAGUAUAUACAGUUCAGUAGCACAUAAUUUAUUUUACGUUGCUUUUUUUAGGGGGAGGGAUUCUAAGACCUGCAUGACAGAAAUUAUGUUUCAUGUUCAGUUAUAUAUGAAUUGUACAUAUGUCCCCAAUAAAAGAUAGGAAAGAUACAUCUUAACAUCCAUUUCGGAAGUAAAGUAAUGCGUAGAAUUUUGAACAAAUUUUGUAAGAGGAUUCAGUGAUCAAUAACAAAUUUAAUACAAACAGAUGAUAUGUUAAAACUCACCAAAAAUACAUGACUUGUGAUUUAGUAUUUCAGACGCGCCUUAUUUACAUAAGACGAAUAAGUUGCGCCAAAUUAAAAUUACAAGUUGAAGAGCAUUCAUCACCGAACACCCAUAAAUGGUGUGCCAAAAACGAUUUAGGCAAUGUAUACUUGGUGUUUGAAUAUUUUAACAUUUUAUGAACAGCGAGUUUAAUAAAAAAAGAAUAAAUCAAUGAUAUUGCAUAUCAGCACAAAAGUGCUGACUUCUUAAUUUGUGGUGACUCCAUCCCUUUUCGACGAAACGAUGGUCCGACCAGGUGGUGGUAAAAACUCAUCAACGAUACUAUAUUAUUUGUAAAAACUAAUCAACGAAACUUAAAUAAAUUGUAAUACAAAGUAAUAUUGAUUAUUCUCAUCGGAUUUUGUCAAAUGUCUUAUCGUUUGUAGUUGUAAAUCUUAUUUUUUUCUGUUAUAUUCGUGUGUUAUGUGAAGAUAAUUAAUCACCCAGUUCAUUUAUUAAAUUUUAAUAUACGAUAUAUUUUGUUUACAGUUUGAUUUAGAAGAAACACCGACAUAGCUAAUUAUUACAACUAAUUAUCUAAUUACUACCACAGAUAUUAAUUAGUAUUGUAAUUUUCAUUGUUAUUAAUAAAUGUUAUAUCAGUAUUACAAACCUAAUCUUGAAUUCUAUCCUAAUUCUGUCCUAUUUUGGGAAAUUUUUUUAAAUUUCAAAUGUGACGUCACUUUGUGCGUUUAUAGCUUUGGCUAACUCGGCUGAGAACUUUUAUGUGCUGAUUCAGGUUGUUUUAUAUAUCGUUUUUAUUCUGUAGUUAGUCAAUACAUCGGUUUUACCAUGUAUAUCCAUUAUAUAGUCAUUUAAAAAAAAUUUACUGUUAGCAAACAAUUAUUCUAAGUAAUAAGGAUGCUCUUAUCCAAGGCAGAAAACCCUAUCCGUAUUAGGCACAAGUGUUUUGGUCCUCCAUGCUCUUCAACUUUGUACUUAUUUUGGCUUUCGAACUUUUAUCGUCUGAGCGUCACAGGUUAGUCUUGUGUGGACGAAACGCGCGUCUGGCGUAUUAAAAUUUUUAAACCUGAUACCUUUUGUUAGCGAUUAUUCGUGUGUUUCUCUGUCCUAUAUGUUCUCCCACUUAUUUGUAUUGUAACAUUGCCAUAAAAAUGGGGGGGGGGGGUUGCAUGCCACUAAACCAGGUUCAAUCCACUUUUUUUUCUUAAAAUGUCCUGUACCGAUUCGGGAAAAUUGCCAUUGUUAUAUUAUAGUUCGUUUCUGUGUGUGUUACAUUUUAAUGAUGUGUUUCUGUUGUGUCGUAGUUCUCCACAGAUAUUAAUUAGUAUUGUAAUUUUCAUUGCUAUUAAUAAAUGUUAUAUCAGUAUUACAAACCUAAUCUUGAAUUUUAUCCUAAUUCUGUCCUAUUUUGGGAAUUGUUUUAGAAAUAUCAUUGAUUUAUUCUUUUUAUAAAAAUCGCUGUUCAUAAAAUGUUAAAAUAUUCAAAACACCAAGUAUACAUUGCCUAAAUCGUUUUUGGCACACCAUUUGUUGUGUUUCCCUCAGUUUUAGUUUGUAACCCGGAUUUGUUUUUUUUUUCUCAAUCGAUUUAUGAAUUUCGAACAGCGGUAUACUGUUCCCUUUAUUUAUGGAUUCUUAUAAGCUUUUUCAUAAUUCACAGACAUCAAUAAACUACUAAAAUUAAUUGAUGACACUCCCCUAUUAAUUAUCCGUAAAUAAACUCAUCCUAAAAAAAUCAUUCUAAACAAUAUAAAGUGUUGCCAUUGUGGAUUUUUCCAGUCUGUCCGUCUGUCAUUCUGUUAGUCAGACUCGAUGAGUCGGAUGUAGACGGAACGCGAGUCUUGCGUAUCAAACUAUAAGCCUGGUACCUUUGAUUAGUAAUUUAUAAAUAUUACGAUAUCUUGACAUUUUUUCAUAAGCUAAUCGGGUUUUGUUAUAACAUAUUAAGACAGUUCAAUUUUUGAAGAUAUAGCAGGUCAAUUUUUCUUGGUAAAUAUGUUUCCAUUAUAUUUAUUUUAGUUAAAUGGGACAUUAAAGAAGAAUAUAUGGUAUACGGACAGAAUGUAACUCUGACAUGUUAUGGAAUAUCAUGCCAACCGUAUGCUGUAAAGAUAUGGAUUGGUGGGCCGAAUGCACAUAUGUUAUGCUAUGAUGGUUAUUCUUCAAACAAAAAUAAAUAUGAAAUAAAGUUUAAUCAUUCUGGACAAGAGUAUGAUCUAAUAAUAAGAGGCUUUAAUUUUUCCGAUGCAAACUGUUACUAUACAUGUUCUUGUGGAUUACAGCAAUAUACAAAUAUAUUAGAACUUACGGAUUCAAACUUUAUUUGUGAGUAAAAUUGUUUCUUUUCAUAUAAAUGGUCGUCUCUUAACGAAAUGCAAGCGCAUGUGAAUAGGUAUUUUCAUACUGUUGUCGCAAGGUGAUGAUAAACAGUUCCUGCUAAUGAAUCGUUAAAGGGGAAACCUAAUGAAUAAUACCUUUGUGUUUUGUCGGUGAUCAUUUUCACCUCAUUAGGUCGAACAUUCAAACUUUCUAUCAUAAACGGGUAUAAUUUAUCAAAAAAAAAUUCAUAUCAAAAUGAUACCGAUAUAUCAAAGGUAAACUAUAUGAUUUAAGCAAUAGUAGCGGUCAAGUUUGCAAUAUUCAAACGUCUUAUGUUCUAAGGUUUCAACACUCACUGGCAACGUUGACCUUUUUUAAUUAGACAAUUGCUUUCGGUCAUAUUUGGUUAUUAACUUCUAAUCUACUUAAUUUAUAAUAUUACAUUCCUGGUUUUAAAAUGUUUCGGUUUGAGCUUUCCAAACACGGAAAUUUAUAAAGUGUUAUUUUAUUGAUCUGUUAAAAUAUAUCCAGUCACUUGGUACAAUUCGAAAUACUACCGAUAGGUUCAAAAUCAAUGUGCCAUAUUUGUUUAAACGAGAUCAAAUAUGUUUAUUCAAAAGACAAAACUCGAAGUCGACAAUUCAAAGAAAAAGACAGAAAUCAUGGCUCUUGUAAUUCGAUUAUAUAUCUAAGUUAAUUUAUACUUCACAGUUAAUCUGUCUAAUAGAUAUAGGAAGAUGUGGUGUGAGUGCCAAUGAGACAACUCUCCAUCCAAAUAACAAUUUAAAAAAGUAAACCAUUACAGGUCAAUGUACAGUCUUCAACACGGAGCUGUGGUUCACACCGAACAACAAGCUAUAAAGGGCCCCAAAAUUACUAGUGUAAAACCAUUCAAACGGGGAAACCAACGGUCUAAUCUAUUAAAAAAAACGAGAAAAGAGAAUAAGGUGUUUGUAAUUUGAGAAUGGUAAUUCCCAACAGUUUAAAGAUCAACAUAUUAAUUUAAUGUUAUAAGACUUUAAAUGUAGUUGUUAUCAUUCAUUCAUUACAGAAAUGUCAUAAAAAAAGUGAAAUCAAAAAAAUACUGAACUCCGAGGAAAAUUCAAAAAGGAAAGUCAUAUGGCAAAAUCAAAAGCUCAAUCACAUCAAAUGAAUGGUUAACAACUGUCAUAUUCUGACUUGGUACAGGCGUUUUGUAUGUUAAAAUUGGUGGAUUAAACCUGGUUUUAUAGCUAGCUGAACCUCUCACUUGUAUGACAGUCGAAUAAAUGUGUCUACAAAAAUUCGAUAUGGAACAUGAAGCGAUAUAGCAGAUGUCGAUAAUGAUAUACAGAAGUGAUUAAAGUUGUUAGUAGUUUUAUUAAUGAAUAUAAUGACAUCAUAUCCUCAUAAAGAAUGUUGCAAAGUUUAACAUGUCCCAAACUCAUAAUGUAACUCAAAUCGGCAAACAUCACCGAAAUCUAAAUUAUUGACGAAAUGUUUUGAAAUUUAAAAUCAUACCAAGUUCAGAAUGGUUUUUUUAAUGGCGUACAGUAAUAUGUUCAGAAUGUUGACGAGCUGGCGAGCAUGCAGAUAAUUGAUCUUUCAGGAAUGUUGGAUAUUGUUGAAAUCUACACCAUCCUGUUUGCAUUUUUCACACAGCCUGUUAUUAAUUUUUGUUCAUCAUAAAGAAAUGAGAUAUGUUAAAUUAAUUAAACAAUCGUUUGUCUACAGUCAAAUCCAUUGCAUUCACGUGUUUAUCAAUCUUUUGCAGACUUGCCAGUUGUAGUUGACCAUUUCAGUGACCAAACUGAUGGCAGACUUCAGAUAGACUUGUUAGUGAACGUGUUUCCACUACUAUCAAUGUGCGAAUUAUUUUACGAGGUAACAGUUUAAAUUGUUGAUUUAUAUUUGAAACUCUGUUGAGCAUAAAAAAAGGAACGUAUGUCAUAUUUUUUUAAAUUAUACUAGAUUUACCUCAAAUGAAAUUGUUGGAUGCUUGUUUUUUUUUAAUAGUUGUUAUCGGCUAAACUGACAGUAACUGCGAGUACUCUCAGAUCAGUACUUGGUGUAUUGGUUUUUUUAGGAGGAAUGUAUAAAUACCCUGCCACGCCCGGUGUGUGUUUUUGUUAUAUGAUUUUCUGUUUUGUUUCGAUCUAAUGAGUUAAACAUUGUUUGACUGAUUUUUAUAAUUUUGUACAGUUACAUCGCUGUACAUGGUUAGGGGAGGGUUUUGCGCCAUCAAAAUAAUUUAACCCCACCACAUACUGUAUAUGCCGUUCCAAAGUCAGUAGCCUGUAUUUUAGUGAUUGUCGUCGGUCCAUGUCUGUCAUAUUUGUGUUUAAUAACUUUUGUGUUGUUAUAAAUAAAAUUGUCAGUUUGCAAUAUUGAAUUGUUUCAAAAUUUUCAUGUCGGGGCCUUUUAAAGCCGACUAUACCAUUAUGUAUUUUUUUUUCAUUGUUAAAGGUCGUAUGGUUGUCUAUAAUUACUUACUUCCACUUCAUUUCAACUUUUGUGGAUAGUUGUCUCCUUGGCAAACAUUUAUUUUGAUAUGUUAUACAUGUAUGUGUGUUUUUGUAAGUAUUUAGUAUGGAACUUAAAAUUUUUGUAUCUUACGAAAAAGUAUAUAAUGAUUAAAUUGUUUAUUCAAUUGCAAUUUUCAGGACAAUGCUUUUCUAGUGGAUUUUGGCACAGUCUAUAGAGGGCCAUUUAGAAGUGGUUUUGGGUUAAACACAGUUAGAAUACAGAGCACAGUAGACCUGAAAUCCUAUAAAUGUAAAGGAAAUGUAAGCAUUGAAUGUCAAGUUCGAUCACUGAAGCACCGACUUCUUCAUCAGAAUAUUGACUUCUGUGGAUUUGAAGGUAUGAACAUUAAAAAUUUUGAAAGUGCCGAAAAUAUAAAUUCGCGCAACCUUUUAUGCUGAAUUAUAUUUUGUUAUACGUAUUAUUGGUUACAUACUGUGUUAGUGACCUAAUACGAUAUAUAUGGUGUCAGUAAAUCCCUAUAUUGAAUUAUCUGACCCCAUAUAUAUCGUAUUAGGUCACUUGCACAUUUUGUAACGAAUUUAUCCUACUGGCUAAGAGGGGCGAAAGAUACCAGACAUACCAGAGUGGUAUGCAAACUCAUUGAUAGAAAAUAAACUAACAAUGUCAUAGCUAAAAAAGAAAAAGACAAACAGAUAAAUAACACUACACAAUACACAACAUAGAAAACUAAAGAUUAAGCAACACGUGUUGCUCCGGACGGGUAUGCAGAUUCUUCUCCAUAUGUGGCACCUGUCGUGUUGCUCAUGUUAUUUAACCCAGUAAAUAGUCUAAUUCGGUAGGUCGUAUUCUGGAAAUGGUACGAAAGUUUAGCUACCACAAAGAAACAUAUCCGAUAAUGGAUUUCAUCUGUGAAUUGGAUAUUCAAUAACGGUCACCAACUCGUGAUGGCGUCCGUAAAAUUACCAUGUGGUAUUUGUGGUAUUAAGGCUACUUGCCAAAGUUAUCAAGUCUUCAAUACCAUUCGUAUGAAGAGCAUACUGCCAUUGGUCUAUACAACAACAAAUGCCAUCAAUAACAACUUGUUAGCUUUAAUUUCAAUUUAAUGUGAUUUAUGCAUUUAUUUCAGUCGUUCUAUAUUAAUUUCUUCGACUGUUGAAAUAUUUCAGAUUUUUUACUAAAAAACGUGUUGUUUCUAUAAAGGAUAAAGGGACGCAACACCACUACUAACCGGGUAAUGGGGAAAAAACGCCUACUAACCAAAUAUAGAAUAUACACGUUCUCUAUGCGGUUGCUUUAAAGCAAUCGUAUUCCUAGAAAUAUAUACAAGGUAAGAUAUAUAUUAAUCUUUAAUCUUUAAAAGGAAUAUAGAUGACCUUCGCUAGACUUUGAUCAACAUUUUGGAAACGUUGAUACUCUUUGUCGCUAUUGAUUAUUCAAAGACAACGGAUGUGCCAUAAUGGUUAAACUAAAAUGUUUUAUAUCAAUUCCAGGUGAAUAUCAUGAACACAGUGCUGCAUAUGUGACCAAAUUCAUUAUUUGUAUAUUUGGGUUCUUGAUUCUAUCAGCAGUAAUAGCUUUCCUUAUAUACAAAUGUGGUAAGCAUGAUAGUUCUUAAUGAAGUUGCAUUAGAAAACAGAUAGUAUGUCAAUAAAUCACAAUAUAGAGGUAAGUACAAAUAUUCCAAUCAUGAUGUCUUUGAUAAAUUAAAAUGAGAUGUGGUAGCAUGGUAACUAAAAUCAUCACCCUUUCUGGGGGAAAGAAGAACAUAUAACCUCACAAUUGUAUAACGCUAUAUUUUACAUCGUCGCCGCCGCAAACGAUGGCGGAACUCAUAAAUUUGAAAACCAUUUCAGAUGAAAGUAUUUCUCUCGACAACAGUUUGCGGAGGAUUUAUAGGAAAGAGGGACAAAAAAUACCUCAGGGACAGUCAAACUCAAAGAUCGAAAAUAAACUGACAACGUCAUGGCUAACAAAGAAAAAGACAAACAGACAAAUAAUAGUACACAAGGCAUAAUAUAAAAACUUAAGACUAAGCAACACGAACCCCACCAAAACUGGGGGUGAUGUCAGGUGCUCCGGAAAAUAUGACAUAUUAUUAGGAAGAGAGAUCAAAUGUGAUGUACCGGUAGAAGCCCGUGCUUAACAAGGGCAUCGUUUUUAUAGGUAUAGGAUGACAUUAUGUCACAUUUGCCAUAGAUUAGAAAUCUGCCAUUUUGCUAAACAAAUAAGCUUCAACGGGCAUAUUUCAAAAGUAAUUACUUUUCUGGUGACUCGUGGUUUGUCCGUUUCUUCUUUUGGUACAAAAUUGACUAUCAAGUCUGACUUUGAAUUAAGUGUUUGUUUUGACAACAUAUUGCAGCUUGCAAAUUCCACAAAUAAGAAUAUAAUGCUAUUUAUAUGAUUAUUUUUUUAAGUGAAGGAAAAGCUGUGUAAUAGUGAAUCUGAAAAUCCCACAGAAAGAGAAUUCGUGGAGAUGGUAUUAUCCUCAAAUGAGACAGACUCAUCUCCGAUGUUUGAUUUACCUUCAAAUGAGACUGGAGCAAUGCAGAUAUUAAAUUUACCUUCAAGGGAGGUAGAAUCAACUUCAAUGUUGCCUUGAAAUUGAAGCAGAAGCAACUCCAAUUGAGAGAAUGUCAAUGUCAAGUAUAAACAUUCCUCAAUUACAAUAAAUACUUUUAUCAAAGAGUAUAAAAUGAUUGAACAGAUAUUGAGAACUAAAUGGAUUUAACCAAAACAUGGGGUUUGUAUUGUAAAAUUUUAUAAAUACGUGUUCGAAAUGGUCUGUUUUCAAAUUCUUUCUUAUUUCUAAAUUUUACCACGAUUCUUAAGCUGAAUAGUAAAAAAGUCUGUUUGUCAUUAAGAUUUCAUAGUAUGAAUCAUUUCACUUCAUCUGCAUGAUGGGAGACGUUAGCAUAAGAGUGAGAAAUUUCCCUUAAAAACAUCUUAUAUCAUUCGUUAUUUGCGCUUUUCUUGGACGUAGAAUGUUUGUAUUCUACUGAUUGAAUUUGAUAGUUUUUUUUUCAUUUUUUUGUCUUCUGCAUGCUGCUUCUAAAUAUUUAUCACCCACAUUCCCUAGUAACAUGAACGGUACCAAUUGUUCUGCGCCAGAUUAGAUAAAGGCCUCUUCGGUGGUGAUGAAGGCCAAACUAUUUGCUAAUCAAAAGCUUAUUUAAAAAAAAUAAAGAGCUUAUAAACCAGAAAAGAAAACUAUAGUAAACUUGGACCAGUUUAGCAUUACAGCAGAUAAGAUAUAUCUUUUUUCUCUGUAACUGGCCAACCAUUUUCAUAGAAUAGUUUUCUAUUUAUAAGGAUAACAAUCACACUUUGCAGAUCAAAACACUGUAGUAUAUUAUCAUCGUAAAGCUGUGCACGGGUUUAUUACGGGGAUGUUUUCAUUUUCAUUAGUUAAUUGAUUAUAAACAACGCUUUCUUUUAAAAAAAAAAUUUUAACAGAACAUCUUAUAUUGUAUUGUGUUUUUCAGUUAGACGAAACAAUUGGAAUUUAAUUGGUUCGAUAUUUGAUAUCGUAGUGAAUACAACGGACUGCAGUUUGAUGAAAACACAAAGAACUAGCUAGAAUAGAUAUUACUCUUAAGAAAUUGUAAUGAGUCAAUACUCAGUGGUUUUACAAGGUGGGAGACGAUACAGCAUAAGAGAAUAUUGAAGAGAAUUGUCUUUCAUCAGCCUGUCCACUUAAAUUGUCAUUUUUCCAGCCAAUAUUAUCAGACAGAACUCAGGGAUUUUUGUGUUUUUUUAUUAUUAUCUUUUAUUAUCUCCGAUUAAUUUUCAUGUUUUCAUUGUUAUUUCUUGUUGU